GGAAGAGUGGAAGGUCAUGGAAUGGGGUGACUCAACUGCGUGGGCAUGGUGUUUUCAUAGGGGUAUUAUGAGGACUCUAUUACUAACUGCAAGGAAAUAAAAUCAGGAGUUUCAGACUUACAAGAGAUGAAGAGUUUGGGGAACCAGCAAAGUCCUUAGACAAAGCAUCAAGAAGGAAGUCGUCAGUCACGGGCUGCAAGAACCAAAAAAUACAUCAACAAACACCA